CUAAACACUAACCCUAACAUAACACACAACACACAAACACAUAACACCCACACUCAAGGCUCAGCGCCUCACUCUCCCUCUCUACCUCUCGGCUCUCUUCUCUUCUCUCCCUCUCGUCUCUCGGUCUCACCGGAAGUCAGCCGCACGCCGCCUCGCCGUGAAGGAGCUCGGCCGCCGUCCAUCUGGUCUUCCUCCUUCGGCUCCUGCUCGAACAAGGGCGCGGGGUAGCUUCCUCUUUUUCCCGUCGUCUGGAACAGGGCAUCUGCCCUCUCCGCCAUAGGGAGCGCACGGCCGCCGCCUGGCCGCCUCCUCCGUCGUCCGUCGUGGCUGAAAUCGCGGUGGAGGCCGAGCUUUGUCUCGCCGGAAAGGAACAGCCCGUUGCUCCCGCCGCCGUGUCGCCGCUGCCGAUGCCGCCGCAUCGUCGUCACCGGAGAAGAUGAGUCCUCCCUUCUCUCUCUCUCUCUUCCCCUUUUUCCCGUCUCUCUCUCUCUUUUAUUUUUUUUAUUUUAAACUGAAAUCCUAACCAAUUCUCUCUCUACCCUCUUCUCUCUCGUUUUUGGCAGGACAAAGGCUAGGCGGUUACCGCCGCGCCGUCGCCGGCCAUGAGCAGCCGCCGGCUGCUCUCACCCCCGUCACUCCGUUCCCGGACACACACACAAGACAGAGUACAAGAACCCCCAAAAUUUCAGUCCAGAUUCACAAGUAUAGCAAAGCUAGGGUUUUGUUUAGAAAUCUGUUCUUUCAUCAUUCAUUUAUCAUUUCCUUAGCAAAAAUCAAACCUUGUAAAUGUAAUAGCUUAGAAAAUAUAUUAACAUGUGUGCGUGCGUA